CACGUAGGGGACGAGCGUUGUCCGGAUUCAUUGGGCGUAAAGCGCGCGUAGGCGGCUCGGAAAGUCGGUCGUGAAAUGCCGGGGCUCAACCCCGGGACUGCGUCCGAUACUCCCGAGCUGGAGGCAGGUAGGGGAGAUCGGAAUUCCUGGUGUAGCGGUGAAAUGCGCAGAUAUCAGGAGGAACACCGGUGGCGAAGGCAGCUCGCUGGGACGGUACUGACGCUGAGGCGCGAAAGCGUGGGGAGCAAACAGG
rnacentral:rRNA from 1 species